rnacentral:tRNA from 1 species
GCCGGCACAGCUCAGUUGGUAGAGCAGAG